UACGUAGGGUGCAAGCGUUGUCCGGAAUUAUUGGGCGUAAAGAGCUCGUAGGCGGUUUGUCGCGUCUGCUGUGAAAACGCGGGGCUCAACUCCGCGCCUGCAGUGGGUACGGGCAGACUAGAGUGCAGUAGGGGAGACUGGAAUUCCUGGUGUAGCGGUGGAAUGCGCAGAUAUCAGGAGGAACACCGAUGGCGAAGGCAGGUCUCUGGGCCACUACUGACGCUGAGAAGCGAAAGCAUGGGGAGCGAACAGG
rnacentral:rRNA from 1 species